UUCAGCUUAAAUUAUGAAUCACAGUGGCCUAUGUAUGCCCCGUGACACAGUUUAAUCAGUGUUGGCAUUCAGUAUCACUGCGGAAUGUGUUUGCUUUUAACAUACUAUUGUUACAUUUAGUGUUGAUUUGCAUUUUAACCUACAAAAUAGAAGUGAUGAAUUCUCCUCGUGAUCAAUCGUGAAUCGCAAUCCUGUUCACUUGCGCUAGCACUUUUUGAUAUAUCUAAAGACUGGUGUGACGAGUUACGUGUUUGCAGUAUGGUAUUGGUACAUUGUGAGCAUCUGAUUAUAUUUGUACUAAAGCUAUUGUGACAGUUAAGAUCGGCAUCGAAGUACAAAGUUAUUCGGCAGGUUGGUAGCAGACCCUUUUACUACUUCCCAUACGAGUGCAGAAGCAACGUUGUAAGUGAUGCUACGCAUCCGGUAACUGAAAUCCUGGCCACACAACAUGGAGAUCUCGUGGUUGCAUCGGGCGGUCACACUCGACAACAAACAAAUGGAAGCAAAAAGAAACCAGACCCGACCCACACAACCCUCAUCCUCCCGAGUCCGAAGUGCUUCAGGAUUCCCCUCCGCCGCCACCGCUCCGGUAGAGCUCGUCGUCAUCGGUUCCGCAUCUGGGCUGCUCCACUAUUGUCGCGGCUUCAAAAACUACGACUGGCACACGCUCUCUCCCGGCCACGGACUUUCUCGGCCAACCUCCUCCCUCGAAGUCAGUUCCCAUCUCCGCCUUCCCUCUUCAUCUUCCUCCAAUUUUACAUCUUUAUUUGCAUUGCCUCCUUUCUCCGGCCGUCGCUCUUGAUUCCUUGAUUUCCUUUAGAUACAUGUGUUGUCUAUCGCUGUUCAUCUCUUUGUUCUUAACUUUUCUUUCAGGGUUCGUUUAUUAUUAUGUUGGAUGAUCAAUCGGGCUAUUCUUUUAUAUGAUGGGAAGAUGAAUAUUCUCUAUUA